AGUCGCCACCAGCGAUGGUGAGCUAAUCUCUUAAAGCCCAUCUCAGUUCGGAUUGUAGGCUGCAACUCGCCUGCAUGAAGUCGGAAUCGCUAGUAAUCGCGGAUCAGCACGCCGCGGUGAAUACGUUCCCGGGCCUUGUACACACCGCCCGUCACACCACGAGAGUUUGUAAUACCCAAAGCCGGUGAGCUAACCUUUAGGAGGGAGCCGUCUAAGGGGGGACAGAUGAAUGGGGUGAAAUCCUAACAAGGGAACCGUAAGAGAACGGGCGGUUGGAUCCCCUCCUAAGUAAGAGAACGGGCGGUUGGAUCCCCUCCUAA
rnacentral:rRNA from 1 species